GAAACAACAAAAAGAGCAGUCAUCUUUAACAUUUUUGUUUCAACGUCCAGCGGAUCGACGUUUCGUGUCUUAGACGUAAAAUUCGAAUUUACGCAACUCUAACAAUUGGUGACACCGACGUGAUAGAAGGACUACGCUGGAGAUUGUCCGGCCGAUUGGCCAUUGCUGUCAUCGGACGGUGUUUCUCUUAAAAAGACCGGUCUACUAAAAAGCUCUCUGAUGCAGGUACUUACACCCUUGGACAGGAAAGGGCUGGGGACGACAUGGGCCUGUUUUCUGUUAAGGUGCUGACAAAACCACAGAGGUCCCAGACAAACCAGAGCCAGACACACCCCUCUACCACCCCUGGACCGGACCUGCCACCUACCACCACUGUCUCAAAUCCCAUUCAGGCUUUUUCUUUGGACCUUAUAUGGCGAUUGGCAACUCUUUCAUAAUAAGGUGUUGUGACGAGAUGAAAAGAAUCUGCCCACUCCAUCAAGCAAUGGGGACAACAACACAGGGCAUCCAUCGGACGUCCUGGAACCACGGACCACACCUGCAGAAACUGGACAGCAGGGGGAAGCAGAGGAGAUACCCAGCAUAGACUUCUCCCAGCUGACGCUUGACAUACCACCUACGCCACCUCCAGUGGUAGAAACAACCAGAUGGGAUGAUUGAGUCGAAUCAGCCAACAGUAACACGGAAGCAGCAAUGUGAGAGUCAGUAGUACAUGACCUUAAAUGGUAAUAAUAGGAAGCUUCCGUUUAACACACAGGCCUAAGAUUACGUAGGUCUACAGCCCCAGUGGGAACUUCCCCUGUAAAAAGGUAUAUAAAGAUCAUAAGACAGUAUGAUCCUCGUUAACAUAUGAGACAGACUUCACAUGGAGAAUCAUCAUAGGUCAAUUUACUAUACGCUUUUUGUUACACUAGAACAAUAUUUUGAGAACUGGAUCAUUUUGGUUAAGUACUUAUUGGGUCACUAUCUGAAGAAACUGGUUGAAUUUUGUGAACCCGACUGAGUCUCUGAAAAACAGGGGUCUAACCACCUCUUGAUCACACAGGCAAAGCGGGCGUUUGCAUUUUAGACACCAGGAACCAGAGGUGAUUAGCAAUUCAAGGAAAAACAGCCAAGUACCAGUUACAAUAUAUUGAGACACAGAGUUGGAAGAUAUAAUAAUAAUAAUAAUAAUAAUAAUAAUAAUAAUAAUAAUAAUAAUAAUAAUAAUAAUAAUAAUAAUAAUAAUAAAAAUAAUAUAAUAAAGAUAUUGGAAUUGGGAAUCCAGUGUCAUAGCUGUGAGAAUACCAAUUACAGGAAAGUGACCAAGGAGCUGAGCAUUUAAGGUAAUCAAACUAUUUUUGCUAUUUAGUCAAUAUUGUUAGAAGUGUUAACACAUUUAAAGUUUUGCAAUAUUAUCAGGCAUAGCUUAAAGCAUUAAGGAUUGAUUGAGCAUUAUUGUUGUAUUGAGAAACUGUAGAACCAUUGAAUUGUAAUGAUGUGUAUAAGACAAAAAACAGAGUGACUUAAUAAAAGCUUGAAACUUUGACAACUAGGCCAGAUUAACGAUCUGGAGAGCAAACGCCUCUGACACUCUCACUGAACAGAAAGUGACCCUGGUUAUAGGUUAAAGUGAUUGCACUAAAGAAUAUUUCAUUGUGUGGACAAUAAUAUAUUUUUAAGAGAGUCAAAACAUAUACCAAUACUAGUUUCCAAGUGACUACUAGCUGACGAGCAUAAUAACCAAUAGAAGAAGUUAUUAGGUUUUGAUAUAUACAUAGGUAAAAUAAACUUGAAGGUAAGGAAUUAUAGGAGGAAUCCAUAACACUCAGAAUAUUUAAAUAGGAGUAUAUCUAUCCAAGACCUCAUACUAGACCGGAAAAUAAGGGAGUGUCAACGUGAACGAAGGAACAAACCCAACUCACGUGAAGGGCCAUUACGAAUAAAAAGAAGGGUUGGUAGGGCCGCACUGCUAGGCCCUUGUUACACCAAGGUAACUAGAAUCCUAAAGUACUCUGCCAGAGGACGGGGUAGAGGCUUUUGCUGCAGGUAUUGGGCAAAAGUCGGCACCGUGACAGUGUAUUACCGAGCUCAGUUUAUCUUUCAAUCACCCACGUGGGUAUAACCAAUGAGAUGCAGACUUGCCAACAUGCACGACCACGCAGUUCUAUGUCCGUGUCCGCAGGUACGAGAUCCCAGUUAAAAACCUAAAUUAAUAGAGCCUGAUAUGUUUCCGCAGGUACGAGAUCCCAGUUAACAACCUAAAUUAAUAGAGCCUGAUUUGUUUCCGCAGGUACGAGAUCCCAGUUAACAACCUAAAUUAAUAGAGCCUGAUUUGUUUCCGCAGGUACGAGAUCCCAGUUAACAACCUAAAUUAAUAGAGCCUGAUUUGUUUCCGCAGGUACGAGAUCCCAGUUAACAACCUAAAUGAAUAGAGCCUGAUAUGUUUC